rnacentral:rRNA from 1 species
UACGGGAGAGGCAAGCGUUGUUCGGAAUCACUGGGCUUAAAGCGCGUGUAGGCGGCUGGGUAAGUACUUUGUGAAAUCCCUUCUCUCAAUGUGGGGACUGCUUGGUAUACUGCCCGGCUUGAGGUAGGUAGAGGUGCCUGGAACUCUAGGUGGAGCGGUGAAAUGCGUAGAUAUCUAGAGGAACGCCCGUAGCGAAAGCGGGGCACUGGGCCUGUCCUGACGCUGAGACGCGAAAGCGUGGGGAGCAAACGGG